rnacentral:sRNA from 1 species
GGUUUCCGGGCCUCGCCUGUUCCUGCUGCAGCAGCCGCUGGCGCCCUCGGGCCUCACGCUGAAGUCCGAGGCCCUUCGCAACUGGCAAGCCACUAUGGAAGGAGGGGUCAGGAUUACAGCAGAGGAGACUGGCACACAGAGUGUUAAGUGACACCCACUCAAUCCACCCCGAAGCUGUUACACUUAAUUAACCCUCAAACUGCCCAGUGAGACUGAACCCGGUGCCUGGCUCCUACCCCACACAGAGCUGCCACCCUCACCUGUCCCCAAGCCACCCUGUGUCCCAGACACAGCAUGCCAGUGGUCAGAAGCUGGCCUCCUGGCCCUCCUGCACCCCCGGGCACAUGCCCACCUUGCCUCCGUACCAGCCUGCCUCUGGCCUGUGCUAUGUGCAGAACCACUUUGGUCCAAACCCCACCUCCUCCAGUGUCUACCCAGCUUCUGCGGGCACCUCCCUGGGCAUCCAGCCCCCCACGCCUGUGAACAGCCCUGGCACGGUGUAUUCUGGGGCCUUGGGCACACCAGGGGCUGCAGGCUCCAAGGAGUCCUCCAGGGUCCCCAUGCCCUGAGAGAAUUUCUAGGGAAGUCAUCUCACUUGGCCUUCUGAAGGUCCUCCCUAAGAUUGUCCUGACAAAAGUUACUUAUUGAACACCUCUAUGUGCCAGGCUCUGUGUUGGGUACUUUGAUCAAUGUCCCUGUUUCAGUCUCAUCUGUACUCACGGCAGCCCUGUGGAGUACGGUGUACUGGCCCAGCUUACAGAUGCAGAAAGCGAGACAUUCUGCCAUCAGAUAAAGUCACGUGG